rnacentral:rRNA from 1 species
CAGUCGCCGCGGUAAUACGUAGGUGGCAAGCGUUGUCCGGAAUUAUUGGGCGUAAAGGGCUCGCAGGCGGUUUCUUAAGUCUGAUGUGAAAGCCCCCGGCUCAACCGGGGAGGGUCAUUGGAAACUGGGAAACUUGAGUGCAGAAGAGGAGAGUGGAAUUCCACGUGUAGCGGUGAAAUGCGUAGAGAUGUGGAGGAACACCAGUGGCGAAGGCGACUCUCUGGUCUGUAACUGACGCUGUGGAGCGAAAGCGUGGGGAGCGAACAGGAUUAGAUACCCGGGUAGUCCCUGUCUCUUUACA